AUUCAGAGCUCCAGUCCCCCGCUGCUCCGAACAUUCAGCAAGCCCUCGGAUAAACACACAAUUACGGCAGGUUUUACAUUUCACCUCUAGUCUCUUCUAGGAGUGAUUUCCGAAUUGCCUGCGAGGGCUACUCCCAAACAAGGCUCCUC